rnacentral:rRNA from 1 species
UACGUAGGGUGCAAGCGUUGUCCGGAAUUAUUGGGCGUAAAGAGCUCGUAGGCGGUCUGUCACGUCGGCUGUGAAAACCCGAGGCUCAACCUCGGGCCUGCAGUCGAUACGGGCAAACUAGAGUACUGCAGGGGAGACUGGAAUUCCUGGUGUAGCGGUGAAAUGCGCAGAUAUCAGGAGGAACACCGGUGGCGAAGGCGGGUCUCUGGGCAGUAAACUGACGCUGGAGGCACGGAAAGCGUGGGGAGCAAACAGG